UACGUAGGGUGCAAGCGUUAAUCGGAAUUACUGGGCGUGAAGCGUGCGCAGGCGGUUUGGUAAGACAGAUGUGAAAUCCCCGGGCUUAACCUGGGAAUUGCAUUUGUGACUGCCCGGCUAGAGUGUGUCAGAGGGGGGUAGAAUUCCACGUGUAGCAGUGAAAUGCGUAGAUAUGUGGAGGAAUACCGAUGGCGAAGGCAGCCCCCUGGGAUAACACUGACGCUCAUGCACGAAAGCGUGGGGAGCAAACGGG
rnacentral:rRNA from 1 species